rnacentral:rRNA from 1 species
UAAGGAAUAUUGGACAAUGGACGCGAGUCUGAUCCAGCCAUGCCGCGUGAAGGAUUAAGGUCCUCUGGAUUGUAAACUUCUUUUAUAAGGGACGAAAAAAGGUCUUUCUAGAUCGUCUGACGGUACCUUAUGAAUAAGCACCGGCUAACUCCGUGCCAGCAGCCGCGGUAAUACGGAGGGUGCAAGCGUUAUCCGGAUUCACUGGGUUUAAAGGGUGCGUAGGCGGGCAGGUAAGUCAGUGGUGAAAUCCUAGAGCUUAACUCUAGAACUGCCAUUGAUACUAUCUGUCUUGAAUAUUGUGGAGGUAAGCGGAAUAUGUCAUGUAGCGGUGAAAUGCUUAGAUAUGACAUAGAACACCUAUUGCGAAGGCAGCUUACUACGCAUAUAUUGACGCUGAGGCACGAAAGCGUGGGGAUCAAACAGG